UACGUAGGUGGCAAGCGUUGUCCGGAUUUAUUGGGUUUAAAGGGUGCGUAGGCGGCCUUAUAAGUCAGUGGUGAAAUAUGGCAGCUCAACUGUCAGGGUGCCAUUGAUACUGCGGAGCUUGAGUACAGAUGAGGUAGGCGGAAUUGACGGUGUAGCGGUGAAAUGCUUAGAUAUCGUCAAGAACACCGAUAGCGAAGGCAGCUUACUGGGCUGUAACUGACGCUGAGGCACGAAAGUGUGGGGAUCAAACAGG
rnacentral:rRNA from 1 species